rnacentral:lncRNA from 1 species
GUCCCUCCCAGUUCAUCCCAGUCCCUCCCAGCCCCUCCCCCUAUCCCUCCCAGUUCAUCCCAGUCCCCCCCAGUAUCUCUCCCAGUCCCUCCCAGUUCAUCCCAGUCCCUCCCAGUCCCUCCCACUAUCCCUCCCAGUUCAUCCCAGUUCAUCCCAGUCCCUCCCAGUCCCUCCCACUAUCCCGCCCAGUAUCUCUCCCUAUCCCUCCCAGUUCAUCCCAGUCCCUCCCAGUCCCUCCCACUAUCCCUCCCAGUAUCCCUCCCAGUCCCUCCCAGUUCAUCCCAGUCCCUCCCAAUAUCCCUCCCAGUCCCUCCCAGUCCCUCCCACUAUCCCUCCCAGUUCAUCCCAGUCCCUCCCAGUCCCUCCCACUAUCCCUCCCAGUAUCCCUCCCAGUCCCUCCCAGUUCAUCCCAGUCCCUCCCAAUAUCUCUCCCAGUCCCUCCUAGUCCAUCCUAUUUCCUUCCCAGUCCCUCCCAGUCCCUCCCACUACCCCUCCCAGUCCGUCCCAGUCCGUCCCAGUCCGUCCCAGUUCAUCCCAGUCCCCGCAGGUCUCUGGUGCGCUGGGACAUCGAUGUUCUCACUGAGGGCAGCUUCCGCGACAGCCCGGCCCUGCAGCUGCUGCUGAUCACAGCCGGGCGUUUGGGGACCAUUGGGGACGGGGCCUUCACUGGGCUGGUGCUGCUGGAGUACCUGUGAGUGAACUGGGACGGACUGGGAGGGACUGGGAAGGAUACUGGGAGGGACUGGGUGACACUGGGAGGGACUGGGAGGCACUGGGGGACACUGGGAGGGACUGGGAGGGACUGGGAGGGAUAGUGGGAGGGACUGGAAGGGACUGGGAUGAACUGGGAGGGACUGGGAGGGAUAGUGGGAGAAACUGGGAGGAAAGGGGGGGAACUGGGAGGGACUGGGAGGGACUGGGAGGGACUGGGAGGGACUGGGAGAGAUACUGGGAGGGAUAGUGGGAUGUACUGGGAUGAACUGGGAGGGAUACUGGGAGGAACUGGGAUGAACUCGGAAGGACUGGGAGGGACUGGGAGGAACUGGGAGGGAGUGGGAGGGAUAGUGGGAGAAACGGGAGGAACUGGGAUGGAACUGGGGGGGGCUGGGUGGGAACUGG